UCCUUGAUGUGUGGGUCCCAGCCACGUCAGCGUCUUCAAGCUCAGCAACGAACAGGCAACGCACGAGCACGAGCCCGGCCGUUUUCAGUUUCUUGCGUUUCUCUUUUCUUUGAUUCCCGGAGAUUUAAGGCAUAUUUUGAUGAGCCGUUUUGUCCUACAAAUAGCCCUGUUAAUCCUCUUCAUUUACCCUCAAACCUCACAGAACGAGAGCCACCAGGCUGCUCGAAUUUAACCUCGCAAGUCUGCGGUACCGACGACUUCCCAGGACGAUUCCGCGACGACGCUAUAAUCGACUGUAGUCUCCGGCGAACGGUUUCCGGCAAACUACUGCACCCCGACGUCCGUGACUUCGCCGUCGAGUUCCCCUUGCGAAGACGAGCUCCGCCGUCCGCUACACCAUCGCCAACAAGCACGGGAACAUCAACCGCAGCGACCACGACCACAUGUUCCAGUGACCUGUGCUUCCAUACAUUGUUUGGAUUAUCAAGAGUGCUUUUGUGACGAGUGCACCAAUCCCUCUCCUC